UGCAGUCGAACGGCAGCAUGAUCUAGCUUGCUAGAUUGAUGGCGAGUGGCGAACGGGUGAGUAAUACAUCGGAACGUGCCCUGUAGUGGGGGAUAACUAGUCGAAAGAUUAGCUAAUACCGCAUACGACCUGAGGGUGAAAGUGGGGGACCGCAAGGCCUCAUGCUAUAGGAGCGGCCGAUGUCUGAUUAGCUAGUUGGUGGGGUAAAGGCCCACCAAGGCGACGAUCAGUAGCUGGUCUGAGAGGACGAUCAGCCACACUGGGACUGAGACACGGCCCAGACUCCUACGGGAGGCAGCAGUGGGGAAUUUUGGACAAUGGGCGAAAGCCUGAUCCAGCAAUGCCGCGUGUGUGAAGAAGGCCUUCGGGUUGUAAAGCACUUUUGUCCGGAAAGAAAUGGCUCUGGUUAAUACCUGGGGUCGAUGACGGUACCGGAAGAAUAAGGACCGGCUAACUACGUGCCAGCAGCCGCGGUAAUACGUAGGGUCCAAGCGUUAAUCGGAAUUACUGGGCGUAAAGCGUGCGCAGGCGGUUGUGCAAGACCGAUGUGAAAUCCCCGAGCUUAACUUGGGAAUUGCAUUGGUGACUGCACGGCUAGAGUGUGUCAGAGGGGGGUAGAAUUCCACGUGUAGCAGUGAAAUGCGUAGAGAUGUGGAGGAAUACCGAUGGCGAAGGCAGC
rnacentral:rRNA from 1 species